AGAGGGAGCGGCCCGUCGGGGAGCAGCCGGGAUGCCCGCCCCGAUCAGUCCCUGGAGGAAGGACAACCACGUGCCCCGCCCCCGUCCUGCCCUUUCCGUUCAGAUGCCCACCCCUCCUCCACCACCAUCACCUGCCCUCCCCUCUCUCCCCGCAAGCUGGUGGAGAGGAAAGCUGGAGCUGAGGAAGGCCUUUAGCCCCGAGCCUGAUCUUUAUUUUGAUCUAGUCUGGCCCUUCUCGAAGCCACAAAAAUCUGGAACCUGGUGUCCUGGCCAUGUGCUGAAUGCACGCACAGCACAGCUCUGGUAUCUGUUUUAAAUUAUCCAUUAAAAUAAGUACAGUCCUAGAAAAAAAAAUAAGUACAGUCUUGGACUUGGUUGGGUGGAGUGAGCUGAAGAAAGGGGCUGAAACGAGGGAUUUCAGCAGCCCCUUUUUCCAGCUGUCUAGGUCCAAAUGAAAGGGGAGGGGGAAUGGGUGGGGCCAACUCCUGGCUUCUAUUCUUGGCCUUCUCUUGGGGACUGAGGCUUAUUUCUUAGAUCUAAAACCCAAUGUUUGGUUUUAAAGCCAAAAAUAUAAGGGAAGUGCAUAGGUUUGGUUUUUUUUUUUUUUCCCCCGAGGUCCUUGAUCUUUGCCCCCAAAUUUGAGGGCAUAAAGUAAUCCCUCAGUUACCUAAAAACACAGCCAUUCCUUUGCCAUUCCACUCUCCUGGAUGGGCCGCUUCUGUGCUCGAGGGAGAGGUGACUCACUAUUACUACUGAGGAAAGGGGAGCCAGUGGUGGAAGUGGGGUGAGUCAUUGAUGGGCAGCAGCUUCAGCCCUCCCCCCAACUUCCUUGGCUCUCUGGGGAUGCCUGAUCCUCUCCCUCACUUUGCACCUACUUCCCCUGGUCCCUCACCACUACCCUUUGCCCACCCACUCAAAUUCUUUGGCUCUGCUCUUUACCCCAGAAGGCCAAAGGCAAGCUUAGAGUUGAGUAGGCAGGAACCAACAUUGUGAAGCCCCAGGCCAGAAAGGGGUGUUCUGCAGAGUGAGGGUUGGCAUGCUGGCUCCUCCUCACCAUACCUGUCCCCGCCCCUUUGGGUACAGGAUGGCUCCUUUAAGAGCAGUGGAUCCACCCCCUGUAGAGGAGGGCCUAUUAGAGCCUCUGCCUGGCUGUCAGUGACUCAGUGUUCGCGGGAACGCUGCCUCAGCCUCAACACCAGCCAACCCAGAUCCCGAGGUGCGCCAGCGCCCAGCCCAGAUCUCCACGCCUGCCAGGAGCGAGCUUCGCCGGCUCGCUGUCCCCCUGAGCAGCCUCUGUCCUUCCGUCCAAGUCCCGC
rnacentral:lncRNA from 1 species